rnacentral:lncRNA from 1 species
CUGAACUUGGCAGGAAAAUCAGUAGGAGUAAGUGGCGGAGGCAUGAGACUGGCAGAGAUACGGCAGCCCCUGUGGAGAGGCUGUCUGCAGAUACCAUAACAAUAACCACAGGAUCUGCGGGGUUCCUGCAUGCAUGUUGGCUUCCCUGGAGAAACUAAUCAAGUGGUGCAGUUUGGACACAGACUGACACACAGGCAGAAUACCAUGUGAAGAUUGGAGUUUUGCAUAAAAAAGCCAAGGAGCUAUCAGAAGCUAGGAGAAUGGCCUGGAACACACCUUUCCUUAGUGCCUUCAGAGAGAGCAUGGCGCUGCCAACAUCUUGAUCUCAGACUUCCAGCAUCCUGAAUUGUGAGACAAAUUUCUGCUGUUUAAACCAUAUAAUUUGUGAUACUUUGCUAUGGCAACUGUCACAGCCAUUACAAGAACCUAACUUUUUCUUAAUCUUUUAAGAACUUUUUUGCUUUCAUCUACUUUGUUCAUUCUGGUUAUUCCAUAGUUUACUUUAAGAUUUAGUCUUCUGUCAAUAAAGCAAUAAUUUCAGAUCAAUUUC